AUGAAGCUGCAGAGGCCCACGCUGCUGUGCAGCCCUCACUCGCAUUGGGGUGCAGGCGAGGGGAGCAGAAGGAAGUGGCUGCAGCUGGCCCACAGGACGGACCCCCUCUGCCAGCCAGCCGGUUGGGAGAUUGCAUCAGAUCUGUGCCUGAGGCCACCAAGGCUCGGGAUCCCCGCAUGGCUGGCCGACCGGACGCGGGUAUGCGUGAAGGCAGCCAGCAGCCAGGGGUCACUGCAGAACGGCUACGCGGGACACGGGAAAGAUUGUUCCCUGGAACAUGGCGUCCAGCGCGACGGUCAGACACCAAGCGACAAAACCACGGGGGGAGGAGCGGAUGCCUUCAACGCCGUCUUCAGGGAGAUGGGGGCUGGCAGGCAUGUGCCGGGGGCAGUGUUUGUAGACCUGGAACCCACGGUCAUCGAUGAAGUGGCGCUGGUGCCCACCACCAGCUCCUCCCAGGCAAGGAAGAUGCUGCCAGGAACUGCCCGAGGGCACCACACCAUCAGCAAGGAGAUCACUGACCUUGUCUUGGGCCAAAUUUGGAAACUGGCCGACCAGUGCACAGGUUUUCAGGGCUUCUUGGUUUUCCACAGCUCUGGAGGGGAACUGGGUCUGGUCUCACCUCCCUGCUGAUGGAACGUCUCUCCGUCAAUUAUGGCGAGAAGUCCACGCUGGAGUUCUCCAUUUACCCUCGCCCGGGUUUACAUAGCUGUAGGUGAGCCCUACUCCAUCCUCAUGACCCACACCAUCCUGGAGCGCUCUGCUUGUGCCUCAUGGUGGACAACGAGACCAAUCACAUAGGCCACACGGGCUACCUGAACACUGUAACUGUCUCUCCAGAUGGAUCCCUCUGUGCUUCUGGAGGGAAGGAUGGCCAAGCCAUGCUGUGGGAUCUCAACAAAGGCAAGCACCUUCAUACACUUGAUGGUGGGGACAUCAUCAAUGCCCUGUGUUUCAGUCCUAACCGAUACUGGCUCCGUGCUGCCACGGGCCCCAGCAUCAAGAUCUGGGACUUGGAAGACAAGAUCAUUAUAGAUGAACUAAAGCAAGAAGUUAUCAGUACCAGCAGCAAGGCAGAGCCACCCCAGUGUACCUCUCUGGCCUGGUCUGCUGAUGGUCAGACUCUGUUUGCCGGCUACACAGACAACCUGGUGUGUGUGUGGCAGGUGACCAUCAGCACCCGCUAGAAUAUGGCAGAGCUCUAGGAAUAAAACAUUGGUUUUCUGA